UUUAAUGAGAGUUUGAUCCUGGCUCAGGACGAACGCUGGCGGCGUGCCUAAUACAUGCAAGUAGAACGCUGAGGUUUGGUGUUUACACUAGACUGAUGAGUUGCGAACGGGUGAGUAACGCGUAGGUAACCUGCCUCAUAGCGGGGGAUAACUAUUGGAAACGAUAGCUAAUACCGCAUAAGAGUAAUUAACACAUGUUAGUUAUUUAAAAGGAGCAAUUGCUUCACUGUGAGAU
rnacentral:rRNA from 3 species